rnacentral:rRNA from 1 species
CGCCGAACNUACNUGNCAGUCGAGGGGCAGCGGGUAAGUAGCUUGCUACUUAUGCCGGCGACCGGCGGACGGGUGCGUAACGCGUAUGUAACCUACCUUUGACAGGGGGAUAACAUCGAGAAAUUGGUACUAAUACCCCAUAACAUCACCGGAGGCAUCUUCGGUGGUUGAAAACUCAGGUGGUCAGAGAUGGACAUGCGUUGUAUUAGCUAGUUGGUGAGGUAACGGCUCACCAAGGCGACGAUACAUAGGGGGACUGAGAGGUCAACCCCCCACAUUGGUACUGAGACACGGACCAAACUCCUACGGGAGGCAGCAGUGAGGAAUAUUGGUCAAUGGACGCAAGUCUGAACCAACCAUGCCGCGUGCAGGAAGACGGCUCUAUGAGUUGUAAACUGCUUUUGUACGAGGGUAAAUCCCGAUACGUGUAUCGGGUUGAAAGUAUCGUACGAAUAAGGAUCGGCUAACUCCGUGCCAGCAGCCGCGGUAAUACGGAGGAUUCAAGUGUUAUCCGGAUUUAUUGGGUUUAAACGGUGCGUAGGCGGUUUGAUAAUUUAGAGGUGACAUCCAGUGGCUCAUAUCCGGAACUGCAUCUGUUUCUGUCGAGCUAUAGUUUAUUUGUUGUAGCUGAACAUGCAUGUGGUAUCGGUAAUCUGUAUAUAACCCUAUAAAAAAUUUACUGCGCGAGAAAGCCACUUAU